rnacentral:rRNA from 1 species
GUUGUAUAGUCAAGUAAUUAAGUGCAUGUGGUGGAUGCCUUGGCAGUCAGAGGCGAUGAAAGACGUGAUAGCCUGCGAAAAGCUCCGGGGAGGCGGCAAAUAUCCUUUGAUCCGGAGAUGUCUGAAUGGGGGAACCCACCUACUUUAAGGUAGGUAUUGCAACAUGAAUACAUAGUGUUGCAAGGCGAACGAGGGGAAGUGAAACAUCUCAGUACCCUUAGGAAAAGAAAUCAAUUGAGAUUCCCUCAGUAGCGGCGAGCGAACGGGGAUCAGCCCAUUAAGUUAUGUGUGUUUUAGUGGAACGCUCUGGGAAGUGCGAACGUAGAGGGUGAUAUUCCCGUACACGAAAGGGCACACAUAAUGAUGACGAGUAGGGCGAGGCACGUGAAACCUUGUCUGAAUAUGGGGGGACCAUCCUCCAAGGCUAAAUACUCCUGACUGACCGAUAGUGAACCAGUACCGUGAGGGAAAGGCGAAAAGAACCCCUGUGAGGGGAGUGAAAUAGAUCCUGAAACCGCAUGCAUACAAGCAGUGGGAGCACCUUCGUGGUGUGACUGCGUACCUUUUGUAUAAUGGGUCAGCGACUUAUAUUCAGUAGCGAGGUUAACCGUAUAGGGGAGCCGUAGAGAAAUCGAGUCUUAAUAGGGCGUUUAGUUGCUGGGUAUAGACCCGAAACCAGGCGAUCUAUCCAUGAGCAGGUUGAAGGUUGGGUAACACUAACUGGAGGACCGAACCCACUGUCGUUGAAAAGCCAGGGGAUGACUUGUGGAUAGGGGUGAAAGGCUAAUCAAGCCUGGUGAUAGCUGGUUCUCCCCGAAAGCUAUUUAGGUAGCGCCUCGGACGAAUACCAUAGGGGGUAGAGCACUGUUUCGGCUAGGGGGUCAUCCCGACUUACCAAACCGAUGCAAACUCCGAAUACCUAUGAGUACUAUCCGGGAGACAGACUGCGGGUGCUAACGUCCGUAGUCAAGAGGAAAACAAUCCAGACCGCCAGCUAAGGCCCCAAAAUCAUAGUUAAGUGGGAAACGAUGUGGGAAGGCAUAGACAGCUAGGAGGUUGGCUUAGAAGCAGCCACCCUUUAAAGAAAGCGUAAUAGCUCACUAGUCGAGUCGGCCUGCGCGGAAGAUGUAACGGGGCUAAAACUAUGUGCCGAAGCUGCGGAUNNNNNNNNNNNNNNNNNAUGCUGGAGGUAUCAGAAGUGCGAAUGCUGACGUGAGUAACGACAAAACGGGUGAAAAACCCGUUCGCCGAAAGACCAAGGGUUCCAGUCCAACGUUAAUCGGGGCUGGGUGAGUCGACCCCUAAGGCGAGGCCGAAAGGCGUAGUCGAUGGGAAAAUGGUUAAUAUUCCAUUACUUCUGUGUAAUGCGAUGAGAGGACGGAGAAGGCUAAAUCAGCCUGGCGUUGGUUGUCCAGGUGAAAGGAUGUAGGCAUGUAUCUUAGGCAAAUCCGGGGUACUCUAUGCUGAGAUCUGAUAGCAAGCUGUACUUGUACAGCGAAGUGGUUGAUGCCAUGCUUCCAGGAAAAGUCUCUAAGCUUCAGUUACACAGGAAUCGUACCCGAAACCGACACAGGUGGUCAGGUCGAGUAGACCAAGGCGCUUGAGAGAACUCUGCUGAAGGAACUAGGCAAAAUGGUACCGUAACUUCGGGAGAAGGUACGCUGUUGUUGGUGAUGGAACUCGCUUCCUGAGCUGACGACAGCCGCAGAAACCAGGCCGCUGCAACUGUUUAUUAAAAACAUAGCACUCUGCAAACACGAAAGUGGACGUAUAGGGUGUGAUGCCUGCCCGGUGCUGGAAGGUUAAUUGAUGGGGUUAGCGUAAGCGAAGCUCUUGAUCGAAGCCCCAGUAAACGGCGGCCGUAACUAUAACGGUCCUAAGGUAGCGAAAUUCCUUGUCGGGUAAGUUCCGACCUGCACGAAUGGCAUAAUGAUGGCGGCGCUGUCUCCAGCAGAGGCUCAGUGAAAUCGAAAUCGCUGUGAAGAUGCAGUGUACCCGCGGCUAGACGGAAAGACCCCGUGAACCUUUACUGCAGCUUGACACUGAACUUUGACCUUACUUGUGUAGGAUAGGUGGGAGGCUUUGAAGCUGGAACGCUAGUUCCAGUGGAGCCGUCCUUGAAAUACCACCCUGGUAAUGUUGAGGUUCUAACUCUGUCCCGUGAUCCGGGACGAGGACCGUGUCUGGUGGGUAGUUUGACUGGGGCGGUCUCCUCCUAAAGAGUAACGGAGGAGUACGAAGGUGCGCUCAGCGUGGUCGGAAAUCACGCGUAGAGUAUAAAGGCAAAAGCGCGCUUAACUGCGAGACCCACAAGUCGAGCAGGUACGAAAGUAGGUCUUAGUGAUCCGGUGGUUCUGUAUGGAAGGGCCAUCGCUCAACGGAUAAAAGGUACUCUGGGGAUAACAGGCUGAUACCGCCCAAGAGUUCAUAUCGACGGCGGUGUUUGGCACCUCGAUGUCGGCUCAUCUCAUCCUGGGGCUGAAGCAGGUCCCAAGGGUAUGGCUGUUCGCCAUUUAAAGAGGUACGCGAGCUGGGUUUAGAACGUCGUGAGACAGUUCGGUCCCUAUCUACCGUGGGCGCUGGAAAUUUGAGAGGAUCUGCUCCUAGUACGAGAGGACCAGAGUGGACGAACCUCUGGUGUACCGGUUGUGACGCCAGUCGCAUCGCCGGGUAGCUAUGUUCGGAAGGGAUAACCGCUGAAAGCAUCUAAGCGGGAAGCCUACCUCAAGAUAAGAUUUCCCUAGGACUUUAUGUCCUCUAAAGAGCCGUUCGAGACUAGGACGUUGAUAGGUUGGAUGUGGAAGCAUAGUGAUAUGUGAAGCUGACCAAUACUAAUUGCUCGUGAGGCUUGACUAUACAACACCCAAGCAGUUG